rnacentral:rRNA from 1 species
UACGAAGGGAGCUAGCGUUGUUCGGAAUUACUGGGCGUAAAGGGCGCGUAGGCGGCUUUGUAAGUCAGAUGUGAAAGCCCCGGGCUUAACCUGGGAACUGCAUUUGAUACUGCGAGGCUAGAGGAUGAGAGAGGAAAGUGGAAUUACGAGUGUAGAGGUGAAAUUCGUAGAUAUUCGUAAGAACACCAGUGGCGAAGGCGGCUUUCUGGCUCAUAACUGACGCUAAGGCGCGAAAGCGUGGGGAGCAAACAGG